UGGCGACCAUAGCGUUGUGGACCCACCUGAUUCCAUGCCGAACUCAGAAGUGAAACGCAAUAGCGCCGAUGGUAGUGUGGGGCUUCCCCAUGUGAGAGUAGGACAUCGCCA
rnacentral:rRNA from 5 species